rnacentral:tRNA from 1 species
ACUAUUUUGGCAGAUAAAGUGCAGUAGAUUUAGAAUUUAUAAAUAUGAUAUUCAUAUGUAGUA